GUGCCAGCCGCCGCGGUAAUACGGAGGAGGCAAGCGUUAUCCGGAUUUAUUGGGCGUAAAGCGUCCGCAGGUGGUUCAGCAAGUCUGCUGUCAAAGCGCGAAGCUCAACUUCGUAUAGGCCGUGGAAACUGCUGAACUUGAGUGUGAUAGGGGCAGAGGGAAUUCCCAGUGUAGCGGUGAAAUGCGUAGAGAUUGGGAAGAACACCGGUGGCGAAAGCGCUCUGCUGGGUCAUAACUGACACUGAGGGACGAAAGCUAGGGGAGCGAAAGGGAUUAGAUACCCCUGUAGUCCUAGCCGUAAACGAUGGGUACUAGGCGUUGACCGUAUCGACCCGGUCAGUGCCGGAGCUAACGCGUUAAGUCUCCCGCCUGGGGAGUACGCACGCAAGUGUGAAACUUAAAUGAAUUGACGGGG
rnacentral:rRNA from 1 species